AUGCAUCUAUUAUGUGGCAGACCUGCAGCAGUUACAGUCUGCUGCUCGUUUCCACUACAGAUGCAAGAAAACCAUGCCCUUGUGGUUUCUGUCUUUUUUAUUGUGGCAGCCAAGGAUGAAUAGAGGGAUACAGGA
rnacentral:snoRNA from 1 species